AGGUGCCGUACUGUUCUGCUUCCGGCGUCUCCCGGAAGCGCUGCGCGUAACUUCCGGGUGGUGGCGGGUGGCGGCGAUGGCGGGUUUGUCCCGCACGCUCGGCAUCUUCGGCGGCUUCGUGGCUGUGGUGGGGGCGGCCUUUUACCCCAUCUAUUUCCGGCCGCUGCUGCUCCCGGAGCAAUACAAGAAAGAACAGUCAAUAAACCGAGCUGGUAUUAUUCAAGAGGAUAUUCAGCCCGCAGGCCACUGGAUGCAUAUUACUUAGAAUGGCUCCUGAUAAGGCAGGUAUGACAUCUGGAUAAUGACCACUUUCAAGAAGAUAAGAACUUUUCCUCUGCAUCAGUCCUUUGGAAUCACAGAAGACAUACAGAUAAAGAUGAGCCAACAGCAAGUGACUGUUACUGCCUAGUGAGAGUAUGGAUGGAACAGGCUUUCGAAGAGGUGUUUGCACUGCCAGAAGAGGUGAGGAGCUGUUUAUGGGUGAACUGGCCAGCUAUGCUCCCUUUUGAAGCCACGCUGGCAGGAUGACUUCAGCAGCAGAAUGGCAGCCAUGCAGUGGGGCACAAGUGAUUAUCACACCUCUCUCCACCCCGCAAAGUGAGAACCACAGUCACUUUUGUGCAAACUCCUUUUACUCAGAAGCAAAAGAAUGGGGGCUGCUCAGCCCUGUCCAGGAAGAGACAAGAACUGUCCCUCCAACACACCUCAAACAGUGCAAACUGUCUAUUGAUCUUCAGCCUAGGCAGUAUUCCUGUUUCUCUAAAGGAGGGCUACUACCAUUUGGAAGCCUUCCAUGCAAGCUCUUUCCAAACACUCCUUUCUCAUUUCCCUUGGGUUGAAAGGCAUUUUAGAUUUGCCAGCUGGGACUCAGCCCCUGGGCUGAUUCCAGCACCUGAGCCUAGCUUUAUGUCAGAGUGAGCUGGCUGAUCCCGUGGGACGUUACAGUGUGCCCUGACGCAGGUGGUAGUUGGAAAGGUGCUGCCAGACUUCUGCAGCCGAGUGACAGAACGUGACAGCCUCAAAGCCGAGUGGUGGCAAAGCAACGAUUUCCAGCUCGUGAUGUUUAUUAACUGGCAUCCCACUGAGGAACCGUGCGGACUCUGCACACCCCUGCCAGAAGCUGCAGUACUCCUUGGGAGCAGGUGCUGUGUCUCUCUUGCCUGCCUGCUCUACACACAGUCACCUGUAAAUACCAUCUAAACCCUCUCUUGCACCUGCUUAAAACACCUGUGUGCUUGCUAAGGGCUCAGUUUUCCAGAGAGGCACACGUAGCAGCUUUGUCUUGCUCUUGGGAGUCAGAUGUUCUCUCACGGUCUCCCUAUGUCUCAGAGAGCCAGUCAUCCCAAGAGCUGUUAUUCUCAAAUUGACCCUUUACUGCAGGGUGUCCACUGGGAUGACACCUGCCGAUCUUUUGCAGGGAUGCUGGCCCAGGCACAGUGGACCAUGACCACUGGAACGGCUGGUUCCAGCAAGCCAUAGUUCACCAGCCACUCCAAAAUCACCCUUACCAUCCAACAAAUUUCUAGCUAAAAGCAAAACCUGAGCUGUCUGCAAUGAACUGUACCACUUGCAUAGCAAUUGCUGCAUGUAAGGAUAUUCACAGAAAUAAAAAAAAAGCCAUCCUGGUAGCUGUCGACACUUUACAGCAGCUUCAAGAGCUCUUUCUGUUCUCCUCAGCUAAAAUGGUGCCAGGAUGUUUUUGUUGCCUGAUGAGCUCCUGGCAAGAGCUCGUCUUUUGGAUACUGCUGAUUGUGGUACUGCUUAUUGCUGCUGGGCCUGGCAGCCAGCAUCCGUCCCACCACCCUAGCCGGGAGCAGGCACCCGGGGGGCACGAAGACAGCAGCAGAUUGGGGCAUCCGACUCCUUCCUGGGCCACAGCAUGGGCCACAUGGCUGUGGGGAGCUGGAGACUGCUGUGGCGCUGCUGGGGUAGAGGCUGACAGCACUGGAGGGACUGAAAUGGCUUCCCAGGCAAAGUAGGGGAGCCCUGGGGGCUGGCGGGGACCCAAGGGCUGCUUUGGCUUUCCAGCACUACCCUACGCAGCAGCCCUGCUGGCCCCAGCAUGUGCAGGUCAUGGGCUUGAUGAUGAACGCACCGCCUGCUUUAUGCCAAAGCUGUCCCUGGGUGCCUUCUGCAAGUCAUAAACACGAAACUUAAAUCAAAUACCAGAUUUUAAUGCUUCUGCAAGAAGAAGGUGUCUGCAAGAGUCUGGCUUUUUUCCUGGAUAGCUAGAGAUGCCUUAGAAAUGCUGAUGUCUCUUGGGUGUAGCCGGACAAAAUUAUCAUCUGGCCAGGCAGUAAACAAAACCAUUUGUUAAAGGUGAGCACAAAACCUCAGCACCAGCCUGGCCUUCUGACUGUAAUCAAAAUGCUUAUGCCCAUUUGAAUUAAAGUCUCCCUGCAAACUGGAGCAAGUUUAUGCCAUUUUUAAAUGGAAACUCAAGGAGAACGUCAAGCACUCAGCAUCUCAAAAGUAUCUAACAGAGAGAAAAACAUCUUUCAGCGGGUAAAAGGAUCACAAUACCAGGGUUAAUUUCCAACAGAUAAAUAGGAGCUGAGAAUAACCUGCUGCUUAACAACCACUAAGGAAAAGGUGGCAUGAUGGGAGAGGCUUCAGUCUAUUUUGGAGGCCUUGCUUUUGCCUCCCUGCUCAUGGCAAUAUUCUUUGUUUGUGCAAUGUUUUCCACCCAAGCAACAAUGCUGUUAAAGAAAAAAUGAUACUGUUGAUGAAUUAUUUGGUGUUAGCUUUCCAGUCAGAAAAGUGAAAGGAGAUGCAUUUCUCAUACUGAAAUGAUGUCACUUUGGGAAGGGAAUAAUGUUUUUGGACUACAAGAUAAUUAAUGUCUGCUACCCCUGAGGGUUUGAUUAAACUAUCAAGUACCAAGUGACAUCUUUGCCACAUGACACUUCUUUGGAAACCAUAAGAACCAGAACAGCAUUUCAGUGUAUACUUUGGCUAACGUGGAGCCACUGCUCCUCUCCGGGGCUCAAUUUGUCAUGACUCCUAGGCGGGGAGGAAUCUUUGGUCUCUCGAAAUAGGUUAUUUCCUUUUUUGGAGAGAAAUAAGAAGACACAAGCAAGGGAUUAAUAAAUUUUUGGGUAGGAUUCCUGCAGCAAGGCAUUGAGAUGAAUAUGAAAAGUGGUAGAACUGAGACCUGGGGCUGUGUUUCUUGGGAGGAAUACUUUGCAUUUCACAAUCAGCACAGAGGGAGAAACUAUUAUUUUUUUUUUCCUGUAGGUGUUUUAAACACAAAUAACUAAUGCUGGAACCAAUAGUUCCUUGUAUUGAAGGAAGUGCCCUCAUAAAGAGUGAGGAAUACCCAUCUGAAAUGAGAGAGAUGGUGAAGAAAAACAAAGAAUAGGCAGCAAAAAGAGGAGGGAAAUACAGAUGACAUAAGAAAGUGACAUAAAUAUGGAAGAAAAGGAGAAAAAGCAAUUGUUAGGAAAUUAAUCAGGGAAUUACGCUAACACAUUGGAAUUACAUCAGGUCAGUUCCACAGCCAAAUGGGCCUUGCUGUGGUAGAUAACACUGUCCUAGCUUCUACCACUUCACUUUUAAAAGGUAAAAUCUGUCCUGAUCCUCAAACACCUUCAGCCACUCUGUCCGACUUCCUGUAAGUGCUGUGCAAGAAAACCCCAUGCGUACAUGCUCUGGUAGAGCAGUGAAUACAGCAGGUGAAAAAAUGGAAUGAUAAUUAAAACUAAAUAUUAGAAUGCUGUUGUAAUCCUAUCACGGGGCUUGACAUGAAAUGAAUUUUCAUUUAAAAAUAAGGGGACAAUAGUUCGUUUUAUGUUCUUAAUUCCUAUUUUUUCCCCUCCUUUUAAGAAAGACUACCACAAAAUUUUAUAAUGUCCAGCUAUCUCCACAUACAAAGAACUAAUUUCCUGUUCUGUACCUUCAUAACUUUUAAGGGCACCACAGUCAUGAUGCUUUGUUGCUCCCUAAGUUUCCCAGUUGGAGGGAAGUAUGUUGAGUAAGUGAAACAAUAGACAUGAAAAUAGUAAAGGAAGAAAUAUCUCCGUAACUCUGCUAAACCUGUUACAUGCCAUAGCUGGGUAAGGUGAGCAAAAAAACCCAAACAAAAUUAAAUUUGAAAUCUUUUGUGGGAUUUUGUUUUUAAACUUUUUGUGAAAAGAUUAGAAUUUUCUUUUUUUUUCCCAGUCCCUAAGUGUGUUUUAGAUGAAACUCAGUUUUUAGGAUCCAGACCUUCUACUGGCCGUAACGUUUGGUUACAGGCUUGGAUUCCUCAAACUGUUUCAUUCAUCUAUGUCAGCCAAAAUGCCAGAGAAACAAUUUGGGCAUGCAGGCCCAAACAGGAAGCUUUUAAAGUGUUGCCCCAUCAUUCAGAAACUGAAGGAUUUAUUUCCUUCUUUUUCACAUGCUGCAGCAGAAAUUGUCUCCAAUUUCAAUGAUCUUGAGUAAAAAUAAUUUUGCUGGCACAAUGUGGAGAACAGAAAAUAUGAAAUAAAAGGUGUUGAGUCAAAAGCUAUAGUCAACUGACCAAGUUUUUAUAAAAUUGUCCCUAGUAUUCUCAACUUUUAUUUGUUUUAUUAAAUAAUUAUGUAAGAUGAUACCUCUUGUUUUAUUUGUUCUAAGGAUUUGUGUAUUUCUUAGCUUGCUAGGCUAGGGCAUGGGAUUGGAAAAUCUCAUGAAAUCUCUCAUGGCUUCAAGAAAGGAAGUAAUUUUUUUCUGGAGUAAAUUUCCAUGCUUGAUAGAAAGUAUUUAUAUAUUCUCUACCUAAGUGAACUUUUUUGUGUUGAAAAAGAAAUGAAAUAACUGUUGUGGCUUUGGCUAGAGAUGUGAACUCAUACUAUUAGUCCGAGGAGCAAUAGUGAACAAGAGCCAUCUUUAUUCAGUUGUCUGUGUACUUUAUGUCCCUGCGCCAGUCCCUUUGCCACUAUAUUGCGUUAUUCUCUAGCAACCUGUUUCAUACUUCUUGGAACACCUCCCUGAAGCAACAGUGUGUGCUAGGUCAUGGAAGACUUCAGGAAAUACAAUAAAGUUUGAAGUCCUACCAUUUUCUGGGGGUAGACUGAGUAUAAUAAAAUUUCUGGAGUUUUUUCACUAAAAAAAGGCUAAACCUCAAGUUCAGUGUUGACAGAAGAAGUUGCUGCUAAAGUUCUUGCAAGAUAGCUGUGAUUGAAGGAAGUUUUUAUGCAGUACCUGUGAAGACUCAGCAAUACAACGGAGGAAGCGAUGGCACCACUUUGGUAGCAAUGGAGUUCUAAGUCAUCCAAAGAACAAGAAGACACUUGUAGCACCUGCAGAAGGAAAAAUUAAAGCUCACCUGAGGAAGCACACCUUUUCACUUUCUCUUACAACUGCUCUCAGAUAGGAGUGAGUUGUUUGGGGGCUUUGAAGAGUAAUUUGGAUUCAAGACAUCGAAUAUACAGGGAUUUGUUUAGGUACUUGCAUGGCAGACUAGUCCUGUUAUCGCUGUGAGCAAGUUGUCAUGGCUUUUCAUAAAGAAAAGAGAGUGAUGGUUUGUUUUGUGGAGACUUAUUUCUAUUCACUGUUAAGGAUGAACUGUUAAGCUAAGGAUGGCAAUUCCCACCUCUGGGUAUCUUACCAACAGGAGGAAGAAUGUGACAAUAUGCAAAGCUUUGUAGGAGUCCCUGUGAUCAUCUCUUGGCAGCCUGUUAGAGACCAUUUUGAAUUAUUAGAAUUCUUGAAGUAUGAAGGAAUUAUUUGAGGUAGUGAGAUUUCACUUUUGUACUUUGCCUGUGAAAUGUAUGCCUACCUUAGUAAAGCAGAAGUGAAAUGCAUGUUGCCGAAGUUUUUAAGAGCUCUGAAUUUUACAGAAUCAAACAGAUGCUUGUUCUGCACGUAUGGUAGACCUGAGGUGUGUCUGUGUGUCUGCUUUUGCACUACAGAAAACAUUCCCAGACUUCACAAACAGAGACAAUCACCUGGUCAAUAAUAUUCUCAGCAGAAGGCAGACGGUGGGAUCUGACACUGUACAGUCUAGUUGCUAUGAACUGUUACUGCUGGCGACUGCGUAUGUGGGAUUUAUAGGUGAACGUCCUCCCCACAGCUUUGGGGAUUAAUUCUUCUCAUGCUUUAUUAAUAAACUGUCUUAGUUUUGCCGAAAUAAUUUACAGCAGUAUGGAUUGUUAUUAUUGGUACAUUGAAGAACAUGCAGACUUUUGAAAAGGACCUUCAUCUUUUAGUAAGUGAUAAAGAAGGGAAUGUAUGUAGAGCUGGAGUGGAAAGUAAGGCUACAAAGUAUUGCAUGUCUGGCUUUUGUUUUGUUAUUUUUGUGACUCUUGUUGAGCUCUUUGCUGAAAUAUUUCCUACUAGACACUUAAAUGGAAGCACUCUGGUCUAAACGGACAUAGUAUCUGAGUGGAUCUGGCAGUUCCUAUGUUAAAUGUUAAGCUAUUUCUAGAAUAUACAAAUAAAGGAGCAGAUAUAUUAUAGAUUAUGGAAUGCAAUUAAAAGGAUAUAAAUUUCUUUCUUGUAAUCCUUUAUAGUCAUGAAGUGAAGGUACAGAUAUUCA